rnacentral:rRNA from 1 species
AGGUGUGGUCAAACCUUCUGGUCUGAGCCUGUUCUCCUCAGAUCUCUGAAGCUAAGCAUAUCUGAACCUGGUUAGUACUUGGGUGGGAGACUGCUGGCAAUACGAGGUGCCACAGUGG